rnacentral:misc_RNA from 1 species
UUUCCGUAGGUGAACCUGCGGAAGGAUCAUUAUCGAGUUUUGAAACGGGUUGUAGCUGGCCUUCUUUGGCACCGUGCACGCCCUGCUCAUCCACUCUACACCUGUGCACUUACUGUAGGUUUCGGACGCGAUGCGAGUUUAGGCUCGCGGAGCUUAUGGGGCUUACGUUUCAACCACAAACGCUUCAGUAUCAGAAUGUGUAUCGCGAUGUAACGCAUCUAAAUACAACUUUCAGCAACGGAUCUCUUGGCUCUC